rnacentral:lncRNA from 1 species
ACUUUGGAGCUGCAGUUUUCUUUUCGUUCCUUCUUUUCUUUUCCUUUUGUUGGUCUUUUUGCCUCUUCGAGGGCCGCUCUCGCGGCACAUGGAGGUUCCCAGGCUAGGGGUCGAGUCGGAGGAUCCGAGCCGCGUCUGCGACCUACACCACAGCUCACGGCCACGCUGGAUCCUUAACCCACUGAGCAAGGCCAGGGAUCGAACCCGCAACCUCAUGGGUCUUCACUCCUGGAUCCGCAGUUUUCUAACCUCGGGUAAAUUCAGGACCUUCCUAAGCAAGAGAGAGCCAGGGGCACGGAGAAUGGAACAGGCCGCUCCUGAAAAAGCCAACAAGAAAUCACCACUGCCACAAGCUUCCAACGAAAAUCGGACGAAAAGGGAACAGACACAGCUUUUCUUAAACCUACAGUUGUUUUACCCCGGGAGGGGGUGCACCGUUCCCGGAAGUACUGCAAUACCAGGUCAAUGCGUGGAGUGGACGGAGCAAGCUCCUAUUCCAACUCCCAGCUCCAAAAAUCCAUUUAAUAUAUUGUCCUCGGAUAGAGGACGUAUCAGAUAUUAAACUGAUAAGAACAGAUACUACACUUGAUCUUAGCCAAAAGGCCGAGAAGCGAUGCCCGUCCCCACCCCCAGCGCCCGCACCGCCCGGCCCGCAGCCACACUCAACUCACGGUGACCCCCACCACCCCGCGCUCCCGCUCGCCCCUCCUUCGCCUCCCUCGCACCACUGCGGCGGGCGCUACGCCGGCCUCUCCCGCGGAUGUUUUCCUCCCUACAUCGUCAAAGACGACUCCUCCACCGCUCGCGGCCUCGCCGGCCUCGGGCUGGGGCGACCUUUGCCGUUUGCAUGUCCCGCCCGGUCCCAGCCGAGCAGGCGUGGCCAAGGCGGGCUCGCCGGGCCCUGGGGACCGCCUCCCGGCGCCCGGCGCGGAAGCCCGGCUGCAGAGGCCCGAAGGCCUCUUUGGGCCACAACUCCCGGGCCCCUGGGGCCGAGCCUGGGGUGGCCAACGACAAAGGCUUGUAGAGUCGCUCAGGGUGUUGGGGGUCCAGUGCCUCUCCUCCUGCCCAGGCUGCGUGCUGACUCACCAGGUCACGCCCAACUUGGGAUGGCUGCUGCUGCCGCCCCCUUCUCUGACUGGUCCCCUGGGGCGAUGGCCAUCCCUCUGGGGACUCCCGCCCCUUGGCUCCCCUGAUCCUCUCUGACCUCUCAUCCCCCAGAGGCUGAAGCCCCCUCCAGAGUCCUUCCUUGGCCUCCGGGCCCUCUAAGAUCAUGUGGGGCUUUCCCCACCCAUCCCCCACGCUGGAUCCUUAGAGACGGGAUAGAGUUUGGAUUCCAGAAUGUUUCCGAUUUUAGGCUUGGGUACCAACACCCUGGCCAGGCCCAGCUCUCAUCAAGCAUAUUCACAUUUUUGCAUCCGACUACGUGUUUGCGGUGUUCUCACCAGGACACCGUCUCUGAGGGAGGAGGCGGGUUGGAUCCCUGGCCUUGAUCAGCGGGUUAAGGAGCCAGCGUGGCGGCAAGAAACGGGGUACACUGCAGAUGCUGCACUGAUCUGGUGUGG